GUCCGCUUCUGGGUCCACCAGGGAGCAAGCAGGGGUCUCCCCUGUGCCCCCCCAGCUAAGUGACUGGUACCUCCUGGGUCUGGGGGGCCUCCAGCAUGCUCCCCAGUGGACCCAGAAGUACUU
rnacentral:pre_miRNA from 1 species